rnacentral:rRNA from 1 species
GACGAACGCUGGCGGCGUGCUUGACACAUGCAAGUCGAACGGACAGACAGAGAGCUUGCUCUCUUGAAGUUAGUGGCGAACGGGUGAGUAACGCGUAAUCAACCUGCCCUUCAGAGGGGGAUAACAACGGGAAACCGUUGCUAAUACCGCGUACGAUUCAUGAACGGCAUCGUUUAUGAAUGAAAGGUGGCCUCUAUGUAUAAGCUAUCGCUGAAGGAGGGGAUUGCGUCUGAUUAGCUAGUUGGAGGGGUAACGGCCCACCAAGGCAAUGAUCAGUAGCCGGUCUGAGAGGAUGAACGGCAACAGUGGGAAUGAGACACGGACCGAACUCCUACGGGAGGCAGCAGUGGGGAAUAUUCCGCAAUGGACGAAAGUCUGACGGAGCAACGCCGCGUGAGUGAUGAAGGUCUUCGGAUUGUAAAGCUCUGUUAAUCGGGACGAAAGAGUUCUGCGUGAAUAAUGCAGAAAAGUGACAGUACCGGAAUAGAAAGCCACGGCUAACUACGUGCCAGCCGCCGCCGUAA